rnacentral:rRNA from 1 species
GUCCACGCCGUAAACGAUGGAUACUAGCUGUUCGGAGCAAUCUGAGUGGCUAAGCGAAAGUGAUAAGUAUCCCACCUGGGGAGUACGUUCGCAAGAAUGAAACUCAAAGGAAUUGACGGGGCCGCACAAGCGGUGGAGCAUGUGGUUUAAUUCGAUGAUACGCGAGGAACCUUACCAAGGCUUAAAUGUAGAUUGACCGGUUUGGAACAGAUCUUUCGCAAGACAAUUUACAAGGUGCUGCAUGGUUGUCGU